CCGCUGACGAUUCAUGAAUGGAAGUCGCGUCAGAUUUAAGCAGGUUUACGUAUUGCAUGGUGGCAAUAGACGAGCAGAUUUAAGGAUCGCUUAUGUGCAGUCACAUGUCAAAUAUUGGUGGAACAUUGUUGAAUGUUGAACACGUUUAGGAGUGUUAUGGCUGGAUGGUUGCCCGAGUGUCAUAAACCAAAAUAACGGAUGGUAGAGGUAUUAUUCUUAUUUUUCUUAAAAAAGGGUUUAUAAAAGGAAGUUUUAAAUGUUUUAUGUGAUUUUUCUUUUGUAUUGUAAAUAUUUCUUUUCAGUAAUGGAUUGUUUUCCCUUACAGGGAUGCACGAUUACCGUUUAUUUUAGGUUGAAUUAUUGUUGAGAUUGUGUUUUUUUUUGGUUGGAUGUUGGACGAGAGUUGGCCAAGGGAGAACUAAGGCCACACCAAAGACAAAAAGGAACUAAGUAGAUCGUAGUCGUUUCAUGGUGCUGACUUAUUUGUUCAAGUUGCAUUACCCACUGUUUGUUUGUUUUUGUUGUAGAUUUCUUUUGACCUGACGGUACCUGCGGGGUUGCCUUCACUGGUGGAUAGCAGUGGUGUGGUGGUUUGGUCACUUUAUUUUUCUUUCCUUCUAGGUCUGCAGUGUGAUUUGUCGUGAGCUUGAUUGCAGUGAGAGCACGUUUGUCUGUAUGCCACUUCUGUCUUCACAACCUAGGUAACCUGUGGCCAUCUGUGGGUUUUGUUUUUUAUUUGUUUUGUUUCUUUUUUUUUCUUUGUGGGUAAUUGCAUUGAAGGUCUGCUGCAUCCUCUUAAUAUGUUAAUGUUUUUUCAAAAUUAUUAAUAUUAUUUUCUUUUGAAUAAAAAUGUUUGUUUAUUGAAGCUUCACUACCGCCUUCUGCCUGAUUAUUUUCCCUUUUUGGGUCAUAAUGUCAUAUAUUAUAUAUAACUGCAGAAAGUCAUGGAGAAGUAAAAGUAAGACCAUAUAGUGCUGCUUUGCAAACAAUUACAUCUGACACAGCAGAAAAAAAAAAAAAAAAAAACAUUUCUUGUUAAUAAGAAACCAAAAACGAAUUUAACAGUAUUUGCUCCAUAAUAGCCCACUAGUCCUGGUAGCAUAACAUUGGUAAACUU